rnacentral:ncRNA from 1 species
AUAUUAUAUGAUAGGGGUUAAUGUGUUAAUAAUCAUGCAUGUAGGGGUGUAUACAGAUUGGCAAGUGUCGUGUAAAUGGAAGGAAAUGUAAAAAGGAGGUAUCACGUUCGAUUCUCACCCUAAUUUACCUAUGACCCAUGCUUGCGGGCUGUGUCGACGCACUUGGAGGUUAUAGAGGUAUCAUAUGGGAAUAAACCCCAUGUCAUGCGAGUACGAGAACUGUGAGUUGCCAUUUCCACCAGUCACAAAAAAAUGUGUUAAUAAUCACCUAACCUAUACCUUGAAUCUACACCCCUAACCUUCUAAAUCAUCGACCCAUAACCCAUAACCCUUCUAAAGAUGCAAUGUGAUUUAUUCCCAUUGCUCAGCAUGUCAAAGUGAAAAAAUUCAACCAAGCAUGGGUAAAUGACGGGAGUAAGUAUGACUAUCUUAAGGUAGCCAAAUGCCUUGUCAUCUAAUUAGUGAUGUGCAUGAAUGGAUCAUUAACGAGAUUCACCAUUAUCCCUAGCUAAUAUAWWCUAGAUAAACCACAUCCAAGGGAAUAGGCUUGGAKGAAUUAGCGAGGAAAGAAGACCCAUUUGAKCUUGAAUCUAUCCCUAACCCAUUAAUAGUUUGGGA